AUGCAGUCCAGUUAUACCACUCACUUGUAUAAUUAUAGACUUCUUAAAUAGCCACUACAGUCAACCCAAUUGGAUAAUGUUUAGAGGCACAAGGUAGAAUGUGAAUGCAUACAGAUUUAUGCAGAGCAGAGAGAUUUAGUAGAGGAGAAGAAGGUUGUUUUAGCCUAGAAAAUAGAGGUUGGGUAAAUCCAUGCAGGAGGCACAAUAAA